rnacentral:rRNA from 1 species
UACGUAGGGUGCGAGCGUUAAUCGGAAUUACUGGGCGUAAAGCGUGCGCAGGCGGUUUUGUAAGCCAGAUGUGAAAUCCCCGGGCUUAACCUGGGAAUGGCAUUUGUGACUGCACGGCUAGAGUGUGUCAGAGGGGGGUAGAAUUCCACGUGUAGCAGUGAAAUGCGUAGAUAUGUGGAGGAAUACCGAUGGCGAAGGCAGCCCCCUGGGAUAAUACUGACGCUCAUGCACGAAAGCGUGGGGAGCAAACAGG